UUCCGGUUGAUCCUGCCGGACCCGACUGCUAUCAGAGUGAGAUUAAGCCAUGCGAGUUAACGUAGCAAUACGUGGCGCACGGCUCAGUAACACGUAGUCAACAUGCCCAGAGGACGUGGAUAACCUCGGGAAACUGAGUCUAAACCGCGAUAAGUGAGGAUUUCUGGAAUGGUUCCUGACUAAAAUCUAUAUGGCCUCUGGAUUGGACUGCGGCCGAUCAGGCUGUUGGUGAGGUAAUGGCCCACUAAACCUGUAACCGGUACGGGCUCUGAGAGGAGGAGCCCGGAGAUGGGCACUGAGACAAGGGCCCAGGCCCUAUGGGGCGCAGCAGGCGCGAAACCUCUGCAAUAGGCGAAAGCCUGACAGGGUUACUCUGAGUGACUUACGCUAAGAAAGUCUUUUGGCGCCUCUAAAAAGGGUGCAGAAUAAGGGGUGGGCAAGUCUGGUGUCAGCCGCCGCGGUAAUACCAGCACCCCGAGUGGUCGGGACGAUUAUUGGGCCUAAAGCAUCCGUAGCCGGUUCUGCAAGUCCCCCGUUAAAUCCAGCUGCUCAACAGAUGGGCCGCGGAGGAUACUACAGAGCUAGGAGGCAGGAGAGGCAAGCGGUACUCAGUGGGUAGGGGUAAAAUCCGUUGAUCCAUUGAAGACCACCAGUGGCGAAGGCGGCUUGCCAGAAUGCGCUCGACGGUGAGGGAUGAAAGCUGGGGGAGCAAACCGGAUUAGAUACCCGGGUAGUCCCAG
rnacentral:rRNA from 1 species